UUCGGUCUCAGUAGGUUGGGAAAUCUCACUUUUAGCCCCUAUACUUUGGUUAUAAGUCCAGUCCUCAUACUGUUCUAUGGUGACAAUUUAAAUCACUUCGUUAAAAUUACCGGGACAAAGAAUUUUGCGUCCCCCGAUAAUUUGGAUGUAAGCUCUUUUUCAAAAAGAAAAAUUUUUCCGAUGAUUUAGUUGGACUUUCCAAAUUAUUUAGGAGUCAUUUUCCA
rnacentral:lncRNA from 1 species